UUGAUUGUUGGUCCUCCCUUGAUUGUUUGCACCUGUGUCUCGUUGUCUCACCUCCCCUAGGGUAUUUAGUCUGGGUCUUUUCUUUGUUCAGUGUUGGAUCAUCGUUGUACACAUGGUGCUGUUCCUGCCAAGCGUAUUUACUUUACAGGAAGUGCUGACAGACAGUUGUCACCAGCAGUGUGGCUGCCGCCCUGGGUCACAGUUAUUACAACGAUCCAUCAAAGGCCUAAUCCUUUUACAGGUAUGUUUACACAUACAAGACUGCGGAGUGUCACCAUCACCAAACAUGUUGAAUGACAUACCGAAAGAUCUACUAAAGCAACUCAGACCAGCCGUUUGCCAUGCCAGGAAGCAUGGCAAGAGGGGUGGCAUCAGGCAUUGUGUCCAGAGAGCCACCAAACUACCACUACCACUGUCUAUGCUACUCUGCAAUCUUCGCCCCUUGAAGAACAAGUUGGAUGCAGUGUACACACACGCUGGAGCCUGCUAUGAGUAUUGCUUGUUGGUUGCUUGAUGAGAUCUUUAUACAGAUCGAUGGGUUUUCCCAUUUACGCCCCAAUAGAGAUGAGAAGGGUUGGAGGGAUCUGUGUUUAUAGUGAAGACAGUUGGUGCCGUAAUUUUGCAAUCAGAGACAGUAUAUGCAACUCAGACCUGGAACUGCUGUGCAUCACCUUGCGAACACAUUACCUGCCAAGGGAAUUUACCAACUUAUUGAUGUGUGUAUUCCACCAAAUGGGAGUGCCACCAGAGCAGCUACACCAGCAAUCUACAAACUAUGCCUGAUGCACCUAUGGUGACCCUAGGUGAUUUUAAACAUUGCAGAUUGCUGCCCAACCUUUCACCAACAUGUAAAGUAUAGCACAAGGAAUAACCAUAUUCUUGACAAGUGCCAUGGUAAUAUUAAGGAUGCCUACACAGCCAGAGCUAGGCCUCCUCUUGGUAACUCUAAUCAUAAUGUCAUCGAACUGCUUCCCACCUAAUUGUCCAGUCUUUAAGUCCAGUAAACUAGUAAUUAGGACUGUAAAUGUGUGGUCUACUGACCAUACAGAGGAGCUGACAAGAUGCUCUCUCUGCACAGACUGGGACCUUUUCUUCCAGGAUGCAGAUAUUGACAUGGUCACAGAAUCAAUUACUGCUGUCUUAUCUCUUUGUGUUGAUUUAAUCAUAACUCAGAAAACUGUUGAGAUAUCCCAAUAAUCAUCCCUACAUCACAAAAGAAAUUAAAGAGUGUAUAAAUACGAAGAGUUUUUGGUGUCUGCAGGAAUAUUAUGCUCAUUUUUACAGAGCUACCAUAUUAUCCAUUUUAUGUUAUGGUAUUACCAGCUGGUUUGGAAACCUAACGGACAAGUUUAUGGCUCAAAUCCUAAAUCUGGUUCAGACAGCAGGGAAGAUUAU